UACGUAGGGUCCGAGCGUUGUCCGGAAUUAUUGGGCGUAAAGAGCUCGUAGGCGGCUCUUCGCGUCGGAUGUGAAAGCUCAAAGCUCAACUUUGAGAGGCCAUUCGAUACGGAAGAGCUAGAGGCAGGUAGGGGAGAGCGGAAUUCCUGGUGUAGCGGUGAAAUGCGCAGAUAUCAGGAGGAACACCGGUGCGAAGGCGGC
rnacentral:rRNA from 1 species